rnacentral:lncRNA from 1 species
GUAGGCUUAAACUCUCCUCAGUGCUCAGUCCUGGCCUCUCUUGUUUCUCAAGUCUUGACCGUGAAGCGUGAAGCACCAGACCUGUCCGCUCGUCAUGUCGAUUCCCUUCCUUUUUUCUCCUGAUUGCUCUUGUACUAGCUCACCAUUGUUGCCAGUACUUUUCUAUUUAGUUUUUAUUGUGAAAACGUGGGCAUAAGUUUGGGUUCUUUAUUGUUUCUUUAAAUUUUGAGAAAAUUAUUAAGUUUAUGUUCAAUUGAUACGGAAAUGAUGCGUUAUCAAUGAACUAUCUGAACUGCAAUUCAGUUGAUAGCCAAAUUCUAGUAAGAUCUGGAAAAUGUUCUCUGAUAUGAAAAUAAUGAAUUGUCAGCAAGCUGCAUGUACUCUUCACAUUCAAUUUUACAUGCGCUGUCUUCCAUUCUUACAUGGAUGCUUAGCAUUGGCUUAGGAUUCAUACGAUGAGCUCUUCCUUGGGAUUCAGGGGAUAUCAGAUAAUUGGAGAAAAUUAAUUAAUUCGUCCUUAUUUGUGAUUCUUUUCUUCUAGUGGCUUAUUCUUUUUUCUUUUUCUUUUUUUUUUUUUCUUUCAGGAAAUGGGUUGAUGACAUUAAGCAAUUAGCAAAGGGGCUGGGAGAGAACUUCACUGAUAGAGAUGGUUGAUGAAGCUGACCCAGAUUGUAAGUUAUUCUGCUUUUGUCCUGGAUUCAGUUUGCAGAACUCUUAGUAGUGGUGUGUUGAAACUGUAUUCACGAGGAAUUACUUAUUUUUUUCAUUGUUGUAGUUUGUUGAAAUUUGCACUCUUCUUAAUAAAAACAAAACUUUACUCAUUUUAACGUCUGAAGAUUAUUUGCUAGAAAAUAAAACUAAUAAUUACAGGCUCGAAAUUGUUGAAACUAUAAUAGAACAUUUUGACAAAAAUUACUUUUAUAGGAAUUAUUUGAGAACUGAAAGUGAAACAGUGAAAAACUAAGAAUAUUAUUGCUCACAGUCAUAACAUACAUAGAUGAUAGAACACAUAAAACAAUUGAAAUCUACUCAUCAGCAGUUGAAUCUAAACCCAUUUCAGACAAUUGUUCUUCUACAUGUUGUUCUUUUGGUUGUUCAAAUAAGCUGUGUUUGUUUGUGUUAAUCACUACUCGAAAUAGGAGUGGAAAUUGAAAAAAUAUAAAGAAAGUAACGGGGAUUGUGGAAAGAAUAGUGAGUGGAAUGUCAAUCCAAGAUAAUCGUUUUUGGAGCAGAAUAAAAAUGCUAGAGCCAAAGGCUAUCAUCAUGGUUACUACAGAGAAGAAAAGAGUAGAAAGGCCAAUGAUUAGUUUUCUGGGUAAGGACUUGAGGAAAUCUUUCUCUGCAUAACGUGAAGUGAGGAUACCAAGAAAUAUUAGCACAGAAGUAUUAGACAAGAAGAGUGAUAGUGCAUUUGUAAUGACAAAUAUUAGAAAUGCAUCAUAACCCAAGAAUAUAGGAAUGCCUGUGUCAUUUUUGGUGCCACCAGGAAUUGUAAAAGCUGUUGUGAACACAACGGUGGCAAUGAGAGCAGCCACAACCAUACAUGAAGCUGUGGUAUUCUUCAUCCAUCUUUCACCUUCUUUCAUCAACUCCGCAUGUUCCUUGGUGAAUAAAGUGCUAGGUGUAUGACCAUUUUCAUUAGUUCUUUCCAUGAACUUUGUUGGUACCAUGCUUUGUAUUUCCUAGGGCAAAAAAAAAAAAGUUCUUUUAAUCAAGUUAAUCUAGAGCCAAUUUGGAAUAUUGCUAUUUGAACUAUCAUUAAAAAAAAGGUUGGAUGCGUAAUUUGUCAUUUCACUUUUUUACAAAAAGUUAUUUUAUCCUCUUAAUUUUAUCUUCAUUUUAUUUACACCAACUUUCAAAUUGUGAAUAACUUAAUCCUACAAUGCAAGUGAGAGUAUAUAUCAUCCCCUUCACUUUUUCAAUUGUGAAAUAACUUAUUUCCGAUGUUGUGGGUGCUAAUGAAUAUCACCCUCCUGUUGCAGUGAUUAAGUUAUUCUAUAGUUUGAAAGUUGAAGAGGCAAAUAGAAUAAAAAUAAAGUUGAGGAGAUAAUGUGAUUUUUAGUGAAAAGGUUAGUGGGUAAAUUAUGCAUUUGGACAAAAUAAGAUCUUACAUAUAGAAAAAAAAAAGUUUAUGUUAAUUACAUGAUUUUAAUUCAAUUCAAAGUGCUUUAGUUAUAAGAACAUAGAAAGGGGUGCCUUUUUAAAAGGUGGAUUCAACAUGCAAUAUCAACCUGGCCAUUAAUUUAUAAAUUUAAAAUCUAGAAGGAAAAUUUUAAAUAUAAAGAUUACCUUAAACCAUUGUAAUUCCUUUUGCAUUUGUAGAGCUGCACCAGGGACCCGAUCGAGUUGAAAGGAAGGGGACAGCUUAGCCGCCAUAUGUAAGAAGUUAUUUGAAAAUACAUCUCUUUUUGUCACUAUUGUGCGACGUUUUGCCCCCAAUCCAUAGAUAAGGCUAAAAAUUUUUUCUUGGCGAAGUAGGAUUGCAUAUGCAAAUAGUGUUCUUCCCUUGUUAUCAACUCUCCAUACUAAUUCAGGGUUAGAUUUGAUUAGCUCCUGGAUAAACUCAACUAGACCAUUCUUUAUUGCAUCAUAAAUUAUUAAAUUAAACCUAAGAUUCCUGAGUUCUUCGUUUCCUAAUGUUGGUAUUUCCUUGAGUAGCAAUUUGAGGAGUUGCAAGGCUUGAGCAUGUCUCUUCUUCAUAUCUUUUAUUCUUUCAGGGACUACAAUUACAUGAAAAAGUUGAGAGAUCAAUACAAUAAUGAAUGUUUGAUUGAAUGUUAAUUGAUUAAGUAGUUGAUGGCUUACCAAGAUGUUUUAGGGAUCUCCAAAGCAGUGCGUGCGCUAAGUUGACAACUGUAAGAAAAAUACCAUAUUUAUAAUAAUAUUUUAGUUUGAAUUAAUAUGAAAAUGAAUUACUAUUAUUACUAUGAUACAACUUAUUAUAUUUCUAGAGUCAUUUAGGAUAUACCUUGUUUUCUUGUGCUUGUUCCACAACUUGAACCUUGCUUCCUAUGCGUUUGGACAUUCUCUUCAUCUUUGGGCUUUGCGGGGUUAAUAUCAUCUUGAUAGGGUUCAGGAACACCUUUCAUGCCAUUUUAUACUUAUGUUUUAGCUAUUUUUAAAGCAAUGUAUGGACACGUAUUCACUUUUGUACUUACAUGAGUAUAACCAUUGGUUCCAAAAUCCAAGUGUACUUCCACUCAGAAAUGCUGAAGUUUUAUUAGCCAGCAAACUUAUAGAUAAAUUUCUAUGAAAAUCCUCCAUAAAACCAAGUCUUCGGUACUCCUUCUCCUUCAACAGAUGCAGUGCUUCAUCUUUAUUAACAAAUUAUAAAACAAUUAUAAAUUAGGGUAUCAAAGAUAUAAACAAAAUUAAUUAAAUUUAUAUAACUUCAAGAUGCUAAAAGAUAUUAAUAAGUUUUAAAUUCGAAUGUAAAUUUAAGUUUUAAAAUUAGAAAUAUACCACUAAUGGUGGCUACGGGAAUCAAAUAGGCCCAAUUUUACAUCAAAUCCAUUAAUUUUGGUCUCUAAAAUCGAGAUUCAAGCAGGGGCAGAGCCAUGGCGGCAUAUUCUAAGCAAUUAACGAGUCAUGUGCUGAGAUUAGAGGAGGCUAUAAGAGGUGACUUGUUUGACCCCUAAUGGCAGAAUUGUUGUUUUCAAAAACAGGCCCCUAUAGGGCUGCAUCCUUUUGUGAAGGAUUGAAUCCCUAACAAGUUGAAAAGAGAGGAAAGGAAUGAGAAAUGAAAGAAACAACAGAAAAAGAAAGGGGGAGAAGUGAGAGAAAGAGAGUGACAAGAAGAAAGAUUGAUUAGUAUUGAUAAUUCUCAAAAAGCCUUGCAAGAUAGCUUCUUCUGAGAUAUAUAGGUCUCAAUAACUGCCCUAACAGAAUCAACUACAGUUAUAGCAGAAUCAGCUACUACUGUUAACAUCUUUCAACUACUUAACUAUCGGAGACCACCCUAACUAUUUUAUUAAUUCCACGUGUAAUCGCCAACCCUCUUUACUCUCCUUACUGGUCAUAAUAUUCCCCACUUCUUGAAAUCAUUAUUGUCCUCAGGAAUGAGUAAUAGAAACUGCAACACCAAUAAAACUGUUGCUUUCAUAUACAGUAAUUGAGCAACAGAAUUCAACAGACAAAAGCCAAAAGAAUCAAAACGUUGAAUUGGGUUUUUUUUUCCUGCACCAUAGGAGAUGAUUUUUUUUCCUUGCCUUCUUGAUAUUUCCUAUUCGUCCUCCAUAGAAAGUAAGAAAUCAUAGGAUAGAAUCCACCCUCUUUCCAUUUUAGCUGAACAAUAACCACAUUAGAGAGCUUUGACAACCCUGUUCUGUUUUCUCCUUAUCAACAGAUGCAUACUAAAACUCAAAUCUCUUUUCCUCGAAAAAAAAAAGACAACCGCCUUCACAUGUUUUUCUCUUCAGCUGAGUUGAUUGUCCUAUAUAUCCAUCAAAUCAAGAUUACUUUCAUCUAAUGUUGUAUUUAGUAGUGGAUGCUUGGCCCAUAGGAAUUGCAAGAUAAUGGCCAUGCUGAACCAGGCUGCUUGAAUUUACAUGGCCAGCUUCUGAAAUGUGUCCAAGCUUCGAAUCUUGAGAACUUAGAUUUUCAAGGAAAGCUUUAGAAAUGUUACCAUCCUCAAAACGUAGAUUAUUCUCAUCAUUUGCAACAUAAGCAUCAUUCUCAAAGCUUUGCUGAAUCAAAUUUUCAAGAAUUUGAAAUUUUGGUUCCUUCUUUUGAACCAACUUCUUCUCAUCUCCAUUCCCAUGAAAACUUUUCUUGUCAUCAAGAGAAACAGUCUCCUUAUUCUCGCUUGCCUUAGUCUUUGCAAAUUCCCUGCCAGUACCCCGGGAAGUUUCCAUUUCAUGGUUUCUUUCUUCUUCUAUAUCUUCAUCAUUCUUCUCCUUAGUGUCCUCUCUUACACUAAAUAUAUUAGCAAGAAAAUCUUGCUCCAUUUCAAUAAUGCCCUUGUCAUUCUUAUUGGGAGUUUUACUUGGAGCAUCUUGGUCUUCAUUUGGCUUGUUGGAAUUUCCAAAAAGGUAAUCUUGUCAGUUUUCCGUUCACUGACAUCAGUUUUCUUAGAUUUUCUCCAUUACCAAUCCCCUCGUCUUGCAUUCUCUUAAGAUGUUAAAGCACAUCCAAUAGGAUCUUUUGUUGCCAAGGUUGUAGUUCAUUGGACUGAUUGUAGCAGUGGUAGGUAAUAUCUCUUUAGCAUUCUGACACCAAACAGAGAAGUGGCCUUUGAAGCUUUGUAAUUGAUGAAUUACAAAAGGAAAAUGUGUUAGAUUUGUGAUUCAUAAUCUAGUGGGAUACUCUUUCCUAAGUAGAGUGUUAGAGUGGAGGAUUUAUUCCUCAACAGGUGGAGGACUAUAAAAGGUAGAUUUGUUGUUUAUAUGUUAUCCUUUGAAUAAGUUUCUUAAUUAGUUAGGACUAAAGGGUUUAAUGCUAUAAAUAGAGGUAUGGUUGAUAGAUUAUUUGGCUCUUCCCAAUCGAAGAGAAAGGCUUUGUUAUUUUUUCAGGUGCCCAGAACGCUAGAGGGGAGAAGCAAACCGAACCUCUAAUCGACUUAUGUACAUGUUCCUGCGGCUCGGAUGAGUAUUCUUGUUUAUAUCGCUACGACUAUCAACACUUUCUUUUUCCUAUCAACAAAACAUCCCCUUUUUCUUCGCUCUUCCGGAACCGGUGCAGAAAUGGGUGCUUUUUUUACGUUGUUUACCUUAGUUACUGGGGGGUCUUAGGGAAGAACUAUGUGGGGAACCUUUUGGGUGUGUGAUGCUCAUUUAACUUCUGUAUUCAUCUCGUUCCUUAUUUACCUGGGUGCAUUGCAUUUUCAAAAGCUUCCUGUCGAACUGGCUUCUAUUUCAAUCUGUGCCGGACCGAUGGAUAUACCGAUAAUCAACUCUUCAGUCAACUGGUGGAAUACAUCGCAUCGACCUGGAAGCUUUCUCUCAUACCAAUUUUUAAGGAUUGAAUCCCUGUUCCCUAACAAGCCAGAAAGAGAGGAAAGGAGAGAGAAACAGAAGAAACAGCAGAGAGAGAAAGGAGAGAAUUGCAGAGUAGACAGAAUUAGAGAGAGAGAGAGAGAGAGAGAGGAAGAAAGAAUGAUUGAUUAGUAUUAAUUUGUAUUUUCCUUAUUAAUCAUAACACCUUUUUUAUUUAUUUAUUUUUUAAUAAGCUAAUUUUUAUGAUUAAAAGUGGAAAAGCGUAACAGAAUAAGCCAUACUAAUCCAGGAUCUGGACAUCUUUUAGAUGGUUGUUUUCUCUUAAGCUUCUCUUGCAAGUCUUGAGCAAACUCAUCGUUGUUCUAGACUUUUUCUCUGCUUCUUUCACUAGUUUUCUUCUAUAUAGAUUUUCAUCAUGGUCCCCGUUUGCAAUAUAAUAGGCUCAUAGUUUGUCAGUUUUCAUCUGUAUAGUUUCUUAUCAUUGAUCUCUAAAGAAUUGGCCCAAUUAUUAAGGGGGAUGGCUCCACCCCUAGAUUCAAGAUCAGACCUAUUAGAAUUCUUUUAAUUCUAAUUCUAUACCUAUACUGAACUAUAAAUAAGCCUUCCUAAGAGAUUAUUAAAAAUAUUACAUUGAAAUAAUUUUGGUGUAAGAAAAGAACAGAGUGGCAUACCAUAAAGUCCAUCAGAGAUGAAGCAGUUUAGAAGUGUAGCACCAUUCUUAUCACCCCUUAGUGGACUGAGAUACUGAAUGGGAGUUUUCUCAAGAAGAUAAUGUAUUGUUUCUCUUUGGUCAAAUAAUGAAGCUUCGACGAUUGGAAGACGGCCAUCAUAAUCAUUUCCUUUGGUAACCAAAUUUUUAUUCUUUGCCAACAUCACCUUCAUCAUAUCUAUCCUUCCAUUCAAGGCUGCAAGAGUAAAGGCUGUAUUGCCAUAAUUGGAUGUCAUUUCCAAGUCUUCUUCUGACAUUAACUUCACCAACUGUUCUGCAAUCUUCCAUUUUCCAGACAAUACAGCCACUUGAAGAGCAUUAAGACCCAUCAAUGAUAUCUUUUUCCUAACAUCAUUAGGAUUCUUUGAUAGCCAUUCUUCAGCUGUAUUCCAAUCUCCCUUUUCUAUUGCUUUGCAUAGGGUUUUGUAUUGAAGGAUGCUUGAUGUUUCUACAAUAACAUAUGCAUAUUAUAUUUAAAAAGAAGAAUUCCCUUAUAUAUAUAUAUUUGUGUGUGUGCAUAUGUAUAUAUAUCUGUAUUUGUUGAUUAUCAAAAUGGAAAAUUUUUUAAAAUUUAAAUAGCAAGUACCUUCUUCCUUGUAAUGCUUAACCUUGGAGGGCUUCUCGGCCAGGUGCUCCCAAACAAAUUUGGCGGAAUCAACUUCACUGGGAUACUUCCUCAUCAAAUUUGAAAUGGUGUCUUCCUCACAAGAAUUUUCAAUGGCAUGUAAAGCCAUAGCAUUCUUCUUGAUCCAAUCCUUGUAGUUGGGAUCAUUUGCUUGGGGUUUUUCUUCCUCUCCAAACACUAUGCUCCCCAAGUCUUGACCGAUCAGGUAAUGUUUCAUGCAUUCUUUCCAAUUCUCAAAAUUAGCUUCCAUUCGCUUUUUGAUGACAAGGCUACCAAAUCCACUAGUAUUUGUUGUUGCCAUGGCUACUAGGUCAAAAUUCAAAUAUAUAGUUAUUUUCUUUUCAUCAUUCUUAACAAGCUUUUAUCUUUAGGGAAAAUUACUAUUUAAUUUUUGUUGUAUGAUGAAUCUAACUUGUUAGUCCCUGUGGUUUUAAAAAUAUACUAAAUGCUCCCUAUGGUUUUGAAAACUCAAUUAAAAGGUCUCUCCUGUUAAAUUUUGACAGAAAAAUAAAUAGUAAUUUUGUGAUACGACAAAAAAUAAAUAGUAAUUUUUCCUUAUCUUUAAAAUGUAAGCAAAUAAAUAAAUAAAUGAAAGCUAAAUACCAAAAUAGGCGAUUGAUUACAAAAGGCAGCAUUGUUCUAAUUAUGUCUUUAUGAACUAAGGAAAAUUAUAAGAAUUACUAAAUUAGGAAUAAAACUAAAUGCACCCAUUAUCUUACCAAAUUUGGAGAGAUGAAUAAGUUGUCCUAAGCUUCCAGCUGUUAAAUGCCUUUGGACACAAUGGAUUCAGAGAGGCCAUAUAUAUAUUUAUAUACAAAAUCAAUGUAGCUCUUAACUAUGUAUUGAUAAUGGACAUUUUUGUUGAUGUUAUUCCCUUUUCCAUAACCUCAAAAGAAAGUUAUCCUUACUGUUUAUGGAAUUUUCUUUUUUUUUUUUCUUACUUUGUAUUUCUAAUGAAUUAAUAUAUUAUAUGAGUGUUCUUUAAUUCCUUUUAUUUUUAUCAUUUAUUUUAUACUGUGUGUGUGAAAGGGAGAAAGUUUAUUGUGUACUUGCGGAUGCAGAGGGAGAUAUGAAAGGAUUUCAUGAAGAGAGAAUAACUUGCUCUUUCCAUUAUUUUUGAAUUAGAUUCUGUUCUUGUAUACAUGUGUGUGAAAGGUAGAAAGUUUAAUGAUAAAUUAGAACCUAUUAAUAGAAAAUUAAUGGAAAGAAUUUACUUUUGAGAUAGAAAGAAAUGUGAAAAAUUUGAUGAAAAGAGAAAUUCCAUUAAUUUAAUUAGAACCUAUUCUUUCAUAUGUGUCUGAAAUGGAGAAAGUUUGGGAUAAGUUGGAACCUCAUAAUCAGAAAUUAAUGGAGAGUAUAUUCUAAAGUAAUGGAGAUAAUAGGUUGUCUUUUCAUCAAAUUCUCUAUGAAAUUCUAUUAUGAGCUGACUAUUCCAUGGAGAUUUACAAACAUAGAAUGAAAAAUCUAUUACGACUUCAUUUGGAAUUAUUUAUUUUGUAAGAAAAGAAUAUAAAUAAAUAAUAAUGCAUGAUUUUAAUCUUUUUAUAAUAAUAUUUUUUAAAAGAAUUGAUAGAGAAGAAAUCAAUCCAAUUAUAAUGUUGUAAAAUUUUUUAUUUCAAAUAAGAGAUACUUGUCGACACAAAUUAGACACAAACUACUUCAUCAAACAUGAGGAAUCUAAGAAGAUUAAGUCUAGCAGGGGUAAAUGAGGAAGAAAUUAAGCUAAAGAGAAGCAAUGAACUCUUCCUUGCUCAUAGUUUAUGCCUCAUAUCUACUGUUAAUAAAAGAAACUUUAGGAAUAGAAGUUGCUAGGUUUAAAUCUCGUCCAUUGAAUUUCUCGAAGGAACCUUGUAACCAAGAGAUAACAUUUCAUGAAUCAUAUUCAAUGAUGUGUCCUUCAGCUUUCGUGUUAGUACAAGAGUAUACUUUCGUGAAGUCAAACUUAUCGUUGAGGACACCCUUUGAUAGAUUAGUUAGAAGCAUCGCUGGCAAAACUAUUAUUAGGAAAAUUAUUUUCUUAAUGGUAAAUUACACUUUAGUCUUUGAGUUUUAGUAUAAUUAAUGGAUUGGUCCCUUUAUUUUUAAAAUCUAACACUUAAAUUCCUCUAUAAUUAGUCCGUCCAAAUAAGAGAUCAUUCCAUCCCUAAAAUACCUUUAUGAACACUUAAAUGUUUAUUUGGGUGAAACAUUUUAUAUUGUAUAAACUAUACUUUAGUCUAUGAAUUUUAGUGUAAUAACAUAUUAAUUUUUAUAUUUUUAAAACUAAAUUCUUGAAUCCUUUUAUAUUCAGUCCAUUCAAAAUUACAGUUUUUCAAUCCAUUAUAGACAUUAGUUUAAAGUUAGUAGAUGGUCAAAUUUCUAAAAGUAUAAUUUCUUUCUAAAAUAUUUUUUAUAAAAAUCUACAAUCUAUUUAAAGGUUACUUGGUAUCACUUAAAAAUGACUGAAAUUGUAAGUAUUUUCUGAAAAUUUUGAAAAUAUUAGAAUCUAAACGGACUGAUUAUAGAAGGAUUUAAGUAUUUGUUUUAAAAAUACAGGGACUGAUCCGUUAAUUAUGGUAAAAUUUAAGGAUUAACGUGUAGUUUACUCAUUUAAAAAGAGUAAUAAAGAUAUUAUUAUACUUUUAACGGUAAAAAUGGAUGAAGAACCUUCCAUUUGGACGGAUAGAUUAUAUAGAGAUUUAAGUGUUCGGUUUAAAAAAUAUAGGGAUCGAUUUGUUAAUUAUGUUACAAGUCAGAGAUAAAAAGUAAUUUUUUUUUCUUUUCUUAAAUAUAAUUGUUUAAAAUAUUAAAAGUUGAUUGAAUUUUGAUAUAUUGUAGUCAGAAAACACCAAAAUACUAACACUCUUUUUUUUUGAACUGUUAUGUUAACAGUACCUAAAGUAGUGUUAAACAUAACAAAAGAUGUUCUACUUGCACAGAUCCCAAGGGUUAACGCUAUUAAUUAAUUGAGUUCUUCCACAAGGCAACAUAAGCAUUAAUCUGAUCAAAGAAAAGUUCAGCAAACAACAUCAUCAGAAGCAAAGAAGUUGUCUUCCAUGAUUCCUUUUGCAUUUUUCUUCCGUUUCCCCUCAUACUGAACUAGGGCGAUACAUCCAAUAACUUUGAUAAAAACUUGCACUUGUUUGUUUGAGCUGCCUAGAAAUUUUCGUUUGUUACUAUAACUUGCAGAUAUAAAAUCGCUUUGAUGGAUUGAACUGGCAUAUUAGGAAUGAAUGGGACCAUUGCAAGAGAGUAUUUUUUUUUUCUUUUCCCAUUGAUUUAGACCAUCAGAGGGACAUAUUUCAAGAUGCUCUAAGUUUAAAGUAGAGGAGGAAAUGGAUGCCGUGUCACAGUCUGUUAUUAUCAGUAAAAGCUAGAGGAUAUAAUUGUUAGUUAAUAUGUUUUUACAAGUGUUCCCUUUUGUCUAUAUUUAUCUUCCCCAACCAUGUAUAAGAUUGAUUUUUGUGUUUUUCAUAGAGUAACACGGUGAUAUGAAAGCCUGUGCAAUAUUAGCUGCAUUGGGUCAUGGGUUGUCUUGCAAAUUUGAUUACAUGCACAAAAAUGAUGAAACUGUUGUAGGAGUAGGAGGAUAAUUUGUCGGACAUGGCACCCCUCUAAAUGAACCCAUACCCAUAAUUUGACGAAGAAAUAUCUUCAAUUGAUAAGCUACCAUCAGGUCCACUACCAUAUAUAAAAUUUGGAUUAUACGUACCAAAACUGUAUUCAUAAUUUGAUAAAUCAAUUGAUCUCUUUUUCUCAUAUUUCUUGUAUGCAACACCUUUAUCUCUUGUUUAGGAUGUUUUAGCACCACUAGUACCAUAAUUGUGAGAGUCUCGUGGUGUUUGAUAUGUACAUACUGGAGAUGGUUCAGAAGUAAUUGUAGUUUCACUUUGUCUUUGACUAGAUGGAUAUUAUGAACUACGACUACCACCUCCUUCAAUUGUGAUUUCUCAUCCAUCUUGAUUACCACCAUCAUCACCAUCACUACUAGUCGGAUAAAAUAAAACAAUCAUCACCAACACCACCUUGUUGUCCUUGAGCUUGAAUGGCAGAUUCAGAUUGUGAUGAAGCAUUUUUAUCGGUGAAUUCAGAUUGUGAUGAAGCAUUUUUAUUCAUGCCCGCUUCUUCAUCAUCCGGCUAUGGAUUUAAUUGGCCAUCAAGCAAUGAAGAUUCCUUUCCUCUAACCAAGACUUUAACGAAAUAUCUCCUUCAAAAAUAUAAUUCAAAUUAAUUAAAUCAUAACCCCUAUCUAAUUCUUGUUGACUUUUGUCUUGUCAUAUUUAUAACUUUCAGCCUUAUGUUGUAGUGCACAAAAACAAGUGCAUAUAAUUUUUGAUACUUCAAUAUGUUUCUUGUUUUUGUGUGAAUGAGGAAACUGUGUUCCAAUUUCUUUUGCAGUUUAAAGUUGAAGUUAUUUGGCUCAACAUUUUGAUAACAAUUUUUCUUUAACU